rnacentral:rRNA from 1 species
GAUGAACGCUGGCGGCGUGCUUAACACAUGCAAGUCGAACGGAAAGGCCGAAGCUUGCUUCGGUACUCGAGUGGCGAACGGGUGAGUAACACGUGGGUGAUCUGCCCUGUACUUCGGGAUAAGCUUGGGAAACUGGGUCUAAUACCGGAUAUGACAAUCUCUUGGAUGGGGUUGUGGAAAGCUUUUGCGGUAUGGGAUGAGCUCGCGGCCUAUCAGCUUGUUGGUGGGGUAAUGGCCUACCAAGGCGUCGACGGGUAGCCGGCCUGAGAGGGUGUACGGCCACAUUGGGACUGAGAUACGGCCCAGACUCCUACGGGAGGCAGCAGUGGGGAAUAUUGCACAAUGGGCGCAAGCCUGAUGCAGCGACGCCGCGUGGGGGAUGACGGCCUUCGGGUUGUAAACUCCUUUCGCAACCGACGAAGCUUUUUGUGACGGUAGGUUGAGAAGAAGCACCGGCUAACUACGU